rnacentral:tRNA from 1 species
GGGAUUGUGGCUCAGUGGUAGAGCACUCUCCUAGGAUGAGAGGGACCCGAGUUCGAUCCUCAGCACCA